rnacentral:rRNA from 1 species
AGUGGCGAACGGGUGAGUAACACGUGAGCAAUUUGCCCUUGACUCUGGGAUAACUGCGGGAAACUGUAGCUAAUACCGGAUACUUUCCUCGCUGGGCAUCCAGCGGGGAAGAAAGAAUUUCGGUCAAGGAUGAGCUCGCGGCCUAUCAGCUAGUUGGUGAGGUAAUGGCUCACCAAGGCGACGACGGGUAGCCGGCCUGAGAGGGUGACCGGCCACACUGGAACUGAGACACGGUCCAGACUCCUACGGGAGGCAGCAGUGGGGAAUAUUGCACAAUGGGCGAAAGCCUGAUGCAGCAACGCCGCGUGAGGGAUGAAGGCCUUCGGGUUGUAAACCUCUUUUAGCAGGGAAGAAGCGAAAGUGACGGUACCUGCAGAAAAAGCACCGGCUAACUACGUGCCAGCAGCCGCGGUAAUACGUAGGGUGCAAGCGUUGUCCGGAAUUAUUGGGCGUAAAGAGCUCGUAGGCGGUUUGUCACGUCUGCUGUGAAAAUCCGAGGCUCAACCUCGGACUUGCAGUGGGUACGGGCAGGCUAGAGUGCGGUAGGGGAGAAGGGAAUUCCUGGUGUAGCGGUGGAAUGCGCAGAUAUCAGGAGGAACACCAAUGGCGAAGGCACUUCUCUGGGCCGUAACUGACGCUGAGGAGCGAAAGCGUGGGGAGCGAACAGGAUUAGAUACCCUGGUAGUCCACGCCGUAAACGGUGGGUGCUAGCUGUG